UACGUAGGGUGCAAGCGUUAAUCGGAAUUACUGGGCGUAAAGCGUGCGCAGGCGGUGAUGUAAGACAGAUGUGAAAUCCCCGGGCUCAACCUGGGAACUGCAUUUGUGACUGCAUCGGCUGGAGUACGGCAGAGGGGGAUGGAAUUCCGCGUGUAGCAGUGAAAUGCGUAGAUAUGCGGAGGAACACCGAUGGCGAAGGCAAUCCCCUGGGCCUGUGACUGACGCUCAUGCACGAAAGCGUGGGGAGCAAACAGGAUUGAGAUACCCCAGA
rnacentral:rRNA from 1 species